GACGAACGCUGGCGGCGUGCUUAACACAUGCAAGUCGAACGCUGAAGACCUGGCUUUUGUUGGGUUGGAUGAGUGGCGAACGGGUGAGUAACACGUGAGUAACCUGCCCUCUUCUUUGGGAUAACGCCCGGAAACGGGUGCUAAUACUGGAUAUUCACUGAUCUUCGCAUGGGGGUUGGUGGAAAGGUUUGUUCUGGUGGGGGAUGGGCUCGCGGCCUAUCAGCUUGUUGGUGGGGUGAUGGCCUACCAAGGCUUUGACGGGUAGCCGGCCUGAGAGGGUGACCGGUCACAUUGGGACUGAGAUACGGCCCAGACUGCUACGGGAGGCAGCAGUGGGGAAUAUUGCACAAUAGGCGAAAGCCUGAUGCAGCGACGCCGCGUGAGGGAUGGAGGCCUGCGGGUUGGAAACCUCUUUCGCUCAAGGUCAAGCCGCAACUGUGGGUUGUGGUGAGGGUAGUGGGUAAAGAAGCGCCGGCUAACUACGUG
rnacentral:rRNA from 1 species